rnacentral:tRNA from 1 species
AAGAAAGUACUGCAAGAGCUGCUAACUCCUGCCAACCACGCAUGACUAACGUGGCUUUCUUA